rnacentral:lncRNA from 1 species
AUUCUUGUGCCUCAGCCUCCCGAGUAGCUGGAAUUGCAGGCAAGCGCCACCACGUCCGGCUAAUUUUUAUAUUUUUAUAUUUUUAGUAGGGACGGGUUUCACCAUGUUGGCCAGGCUGGUCUCGAACUCCUGGCCUCAGGUGAUCCACCCGCCUUGGCCUCCCGAAGUGCUGGGGAUUACAUGCAUGAGCCACUGCGCCUGGCCAAAAGCUUUUAUAUAUAUUUAUAAAUGGACAUAGAUAUCUGUGAGGCUGUCGGGUAUGGUGGCUCACGCCUGUAGUCCCAAGCACUUUGGGAGGCCGAGGCAGGCGGAUCACGAGGUCAGGAAAUCAAGACCAUCCUGGCCAACAUAGUGAAACCCCCGUCUCUACUAAAAAUAAAAAAAUUAGCCAGGUGUGGCAGUGCGCGCCUCUAGUCCCAGCUACUUGAGAGGCUGAGGCAGGAGAAUCGCUUGAACCCCGGAGGCGGAGGCUGCAGUGAACCGAGAUCGCGCCACUGCACUCCAGCCUGGGCGACAAGGCGAGACUCCGUCUCCAAAAAAAAAAAGCUAUUUGUGAGGUAACAAUCUAAAUAUGUUUGAGCUAGUGCAACAGUAAGUUAACUCCUUACAUCUGUUAAUUCAGCAAGCACUAACAAGUGAUGGAGAUUAAAAAAAAAAAAGGAAUGAGCCACAGCUUUGCCAUCAAAGACUUCAGCGUCUCUUAGGGGAAACAGAUGUAAGCAAAUAAUGACACGAUUUAGGGCAGAGAUAUAUCAGAAGAUCAGCUUGCCUGUGCGUGGGGGAAAUGUUAGGGAAGUUUGGGUUAUCCAGGCUACAAUGUGUGGAAAGGGAUUUCGCACAUACAAACAACAGAGGGCCAAGACAUGAAUAUGAUUUCUAGUUUAAGGAACCAGAAGUUUAGUAUGACUACUUGGGGUGACUUUGGAGAGGAUGGGACCAUGAUGUCAGAAGUUGAAAUUGGGAGCAAUUGAAAGAUUCUAAGCCAGGAAGGAAUCAUUUUCUAUUUUAGGAUGGAUUUGAGAAAGUUAAGACCAAGAGGCACUUAACAUACCCCUGAAAUAGAAAAGAAAUGAUGCAUGAGGGCGUUGGUCAUAAGGAUAGAGAAGAGACAAGAUCAGAAGUAUGUAGGACAGUAAAUCUGCAAGAUGAAGUUGGGGUGAAAUAAAAACCACAAAAAUCUCGUUUGGGGCUUUCCAAGGUUGUGCCAACAAAUAAGGUAGGGCAUACAGGCUGGUAGCUAGAUUGUUAAGAUGAGUAACUGCUUGCAACAACUUGAUUAUUUGAAGUUACAGUGCAUAGAUGACUGUGGGACAGUGAUCUGAUGCUGCAAGAUUACCAGUGUUACCAAAUGACAAAGACAUCAAGAGGGGAGAAUUUAAACUUUCAAUGAUUGACCAAGGAGUUGUGCAUUUCAUUUUGUAACAAGGGCGUAAGAUUAAAAACCCCCUAAAGAUAUUACAAGAAUUUAUAUCCCAAGCUCUGGUCAUUGUCCAAAAUUAUCGUUCUGAUACUGGCACCAUGAUAACCAUUACAAGAGAUCAGAAAUGAUGACACGAGCCCAGACACAGUGGCUCACACCUGUAAUCCCAGCGCUUUGGGAGGCCAAGGCCAGAGGACUGCUUGAGCCCAGGAGUUCGAGACCAGCCUGAGUAACAUAGUAAGACCCCAUCUCUACAAGAAAUAAAAAAUAGCCAGGGGUGGUAGGUGUGUACCUGUAGCCCCAGCUACUUAAGAGGCUGAGGCAUGAGAAUGGCUAGAGCCGGGGGGGAUUGACGCUGCAGUGACCCAUGAUCACAGCACUGCUCUCCAGCCUAGGCAGCAGAGCAAGACCCUGUCUCAAAAAAAAGACACGAUGACAUGAGUUUUCCUUUACAAGAGCCUUGGGAGUCCUUUUACAACUUACUAUCACAUUCAUGACAAAUAUUCUUUCUAAAUUUUGAAUAGGAACAAAGAUUUCUAACAAGAGAGAGAAUAUCUUCCCGAUUCGACUCCCAUAUGUCAAGAGACUCAGAUGUGACUCAUAUUUGCCUGCCAGGAGGAGGAAAAAGAAAUACACUGUCCAGGAGCAACUCCUUAGUGGGUACCCACCAGAAGUGGUCUCCAAACAAGGGUCUCGCUGAUCCCAAAGAUGAAGAGACAAAACCGGCCUUGCUUGCCCCCAAGGUGAGACUUCGGAUCUGUGGUGAGGGAGGGAAAAAUUCCAGCAGACCCAAGAGGAAGGCUACAGAAGAAAGGACAGAAGCGUGGAGAGAAAUUCUAAGCAGGAGGCUGGGGAAGAAGGAAGAGCUUCAGGUCACUGGGUCACCCCACCAGGAGAUAGUCCCCUUGUGGCCUUGAGACUUAUGCAAUGGGCAGAUGCAAUCUGGGUACCUAAGGCAAGGAUUGCCCUUAUUCUGGCCAUGACAUUUAACACCUAAUUGCAGCAAUAACCCCUCUUUUCCACCUGGAGAAAGCUUCCUGGCCCCUCUUUUUCACUUGUGGGUAAGUCUGGCCAAGAGCAGGGUGAAGAAACCCAUAGUCUAACACAAAACCACAUUUUUUAUUUUUAUUUUUUUAAUUGUAGAGACAGGGUCUUACUGUGUUGCCUACACUGGUCUCAAACGCCUGGCCUCAAGCAGUCCUCCCACUUCAGCCUCCCAAAGUGCUGUGAUUACAACACAAAACCACCUUAUCAUUAAAAAAUUAGGGCAAGGAACAGUGGCUCACAUCUGUAAUCUCAACACUCUGGGAAGCCAGGGUGGGAGGAUCACUUGAGUCCAGAAGUUCGAGACCAGCCUGGGAACACAUACAAAAACCCCACCUCUACAAAAAAUACAAAAAUUAGCCAGGCAUGGUGGUGCGUGCCUAUAGUCCCACCCACUCAGGAGGCUGAGGUGGGGAGGACAGCUUGAGCCCAGGAGCUGGAGGUUGCAGUGAACCGAGCUUGUGCCGUUGCACUCCAGCCUGGGCGACUGAGAGAGACCCUGUCUCAAAAAAUAAAAAUUAAAAAGCUUUUAAAAAGUUAAAAUAUUGAAGCCACCAAAGGUUAAUAUAUGAAUAUUGGUAAUUAGAUGAGAUUAAGAUGAUUUUUGGCUUGAGAAUCCAGAUUCACAAAUCUUUUUUUAAUUUUUAUUUUAGGUUCAGGGGUACAUGUGCAGGUUUGUUACCUGAGUAUAUUGCAUGAUUCUAAGGUUUGGGGUAUGAAUGAUCCCAUCACCCAGGUACUGAGCAUAGUACCCAACAGUUAGUUUUUCUUUUCUUUCUUUCUUUCUUUCAUUCUUUCUUUCUUUUUUUGAGAUGGAGUUUCACUCUUGUUGCCCAGGCUGUAGUGCAAUGGCGCGAUCUCAGCUCACUGCAACCUCCGCCUCCCGGGUUCAAGCGAUUCUCCUGCCUCAGCCUCCCGAGUAGCUGGGAUUACAGACAUGCACCACCACGCCUGGCUAAUUUUGUAUUUUUAGUAGAGACGGGGUUUCACCAUAUUGGUCAGGCUCAGGAGUUGGUCAGCUCCUGACCUCAGGUGAUCCACCUGCCUCAGCCUCCCACAGUGCUGGGAUUACAGGUGUGAGCCACUGCACCCAGCCUCCCACCCAAAUUUCAUGUUCAGUUGUAAUCCCCAGUGUUGCAGGUGGAGCCUGGUGGGAGGUAAUUGGAUCACAGGAGGUGGAUCCUUAUCUCUCUCUCUUUUUUUUUUUUUUUUUUUUUUUUUUGAGACAGAGUCUUGCUCUGUUGGCUGGGCUGGAAUACAGUGGCACGAUCUCGCCUCACUGCAACCUCUGCCUCCCGGGCUCAAGCGAUUCUCCUGCCUCAGCCUCCCGAGUAGCUGGGAUUACAAGCCUGGCUAAUUUUUGUAUUUUUAGUACAGACGGGGUUUCACAUAUACUUCACUCAUACAGGUGGGCCCAUAUUUCCUACAUGAAACAGGACCCAUACAUAGUUCACUUCUAAGUGGGAAAAUAUGAAAAUACGUCUUUUAACAAAAACCUAUAUAUGAAUAUUUAUUUGUAAGGGUCUUAGUCAUGAAAUCAUCAAAAAUUGGAAGCAAUCAAAAUGUUCUUUAACUUGUGAAUGGAUAAAUAAAUUGUGGUACAUCCACAUAAGGCAAUGCUGCUCUAUAAUAGAAUGAACCCAUGAUACACACAGCAACUUGGAUGACUCUCAAAAGCAGCAUGCUAUGUCACAGAAGCCAGGCUCAGCAGGCUACACACAUAAUCAUUCCAUAUACGUGACAUUUUUACAAAGGCGAAACUCUAGGGACAGAGAACGGACCAGUGCUGGCCAGGGGCUGGAGGUGGAAGGAGGGGCUGAGUACAAAGUAGUUUCAAAUAAUGUUUUGGGGUAAUUGAAAUAUUCCAUAUCUUGACUGUGAUGACAUCGAUGUGUUUGUCAAAACUCAUCGACCUGUUUACUAAAAAGAGAGAAUUUUAUUGUAUGUAAAUUACACUUCGGUAAACCUGACUUUAAAAUAGCAAUGAGUUGGAAAUUUCAGGAAUCAAAUAACCUAGAGAUUUGUCAAAGGGCUUUUCUCCUGCCUCUCAGCUUUACCAAAUGCUUUAUUGCCUAGCAUUAUGCUAUGAGGUUCAUUUCAGUCCUGUGCUUGUGAGAUUGUUUUUUUUUUUUUUUUUUUUUUUUGAGACAGAGUUUCGCUGAUCUCGGCUCACUACAACCUAUACCUCCUGGGUUCAAGUGAUUCUCCUGCCUCAGCCUCCCGAGUAGCUGGGAUUGCAGGCGCCCACCACCACGCCCGGCUAAUUUUUGUAAUUUUAACAGAGAUGGGGUUUCACCAUGUUGGCCAGGCUGGUCUCAAACUCCUGACCUCAGGUGAUCCACCC